ACGAACGCUGGCGGCGUGCUUAACACAUGCAAGUCGAACGGAAAGGCCCUGCUUUUGUGGGGUGCUCGAGUGGCGAACGGGUGAGUAACACGUGAGUAACCUGCCCUUGACUUUGGGAUAACUUCAGGAAACUGGGGCUAAUACCGGAUAGGAGCUCCUGCUGCAUGGUGGGGGUUGGAAAGUUUCGGCGGUUGGGGAUGGACUCGCGGCUUAUCAGCUUGUUGGUGGGGUAGUGGCUUACCAAGGCUUUGACGGGUAGCCGGCCUGAGAGGGUGACCGGCCACAUUGGGACUGAGAUACGGCCCAGACUCCUACGGGAGGCAGCAGUGGGGAAUAUGGCACAAUGGGCGGAAGCCUGAUGCAGCAACGCCGCGUGCGGGAUGACGGCCUUCGGGUUGUAAACCGCUUUCGCCUGUGACGAAGCGUGAGUGACGGUAAUGGGUAAAGAAGCACCGGCUAACUACGUG
rnacentral:rRNA from 1 species